UGCGGAGGAUCAUUAACGAAUUGUAAUUGGAGUUGAUGCUGGCAGGCUUGGCUGCAUGGGGUCGCUCCUAACAAUCUUCAUCCAAACACCUGUGCACAUUUAGAGAGGGUCUCCGAGUCCUCCUUGGAGUCCCUUCCUCUCAUUACACACUUUAUUUCAAUGUUGAACGUGAUUGUGCCGUAAGGCCUUAAUAUUAAUACAACUUUUAACAACGGAUCUCUUGGCUCUCGCAUCGAUGAAGAACGCAACGAAUUGCGAUAAGUAAUGUGAAUUGCAGAAUUCAGUGAAUCAUCAAAUUUUUGAACGCACCUUGCGCUCCCUGGUAUUCCGGGGAGCACGCCUGUUCGAGUGUCGUGAAAUUCUCAAACCGGGAUGCUUUUUUUGUUUCUCGGCUUGGUGUUGGGCUUUGCAGUUCCUUUGAUUGGGAUGGCUGGCCUUAAAAGCAUUAGCUGGCUUUUCAUGUGGCAUUGGUUCUACUCAGCGUGAUAAUGAUCUGACCGCCGAGGACAUCUUUCGAGGUGGCCAAUUCUCAUUUGGGCUGCUUCUAAUUUUGGUAGAGCACAUUCUGAAUCUGUUCCACUUUUCAGCUUUUGACCUCCAAUCAGGUGGGACUACCCGCUGAACUUAAGCA
rnacentral:rRNA from 1 species